GGGUCAGUAGGUUGGUCGUGCCACUGGUACGUACUGGUCUCACUGAUUCCUCCUUCCUGAAGAACCGUAAUGCCAUUAAUUUGGUGUUGCGGGGAAACAGGACUGUUACUUUGAAAAAAUUAGAGUGUUUAAAGCAAGCUAACGCUUGAAUACAUUAGCAUGAAAUAAUGAAAUAGGACGAUCGAUCCUAUUUUGUUGGUUUCUAGGAUUGACGUA
rnacentral:rRNA from 1 species